UGUGGUGUUGUGAUAACAAAAGACCUGUGUCGGGAUUCAAUGUGUUCUAGUCCAUGGCGGAGGCCUUGGCAUCGAAACCAUAGCUUGACAAGCUUGGCAUCAAACCCCACUUCCUGAACGAUUUGCAUGUCACCGAUGAAGCAACCACGGAAGUCGUUGAGGUGGCAUUUUCCAGCAAAGUGUACAUCCUCUGACGAAUUCAACCCCACACUAAGUUUCUCACGGUUCUGUGAGGAUUUAUGAUUUCAAUUCUCUGACGGGCUGCACAGGAGCCUACGUACGCAAGGUGGAGUGGAAUUGGCUCAACUUAUCAGAGGAGAUCAAUGAAUUUGUGCACGUGGGAGAGCAGCCUAACGUAGGUUAGAAACUAGUCUGGCUUGUGAUUUGGGAUCAUUUUGUGAGGAGUCGUCAACACCUCGUCUUAGUACAUUAUCACUUUUCUUUUAUUUUCCGGGUCCUUUGUGCUUCCGUUUGAUUGUUUUUCAAUUAUCAUCUAAAUCUUCUUCUAGAUGACAUAAAUUAGAUAACAAGCCAGCAUAUAGUUCUGCAUAAACGAUGAUGAGCUAAUGAGGGAGGAUCAUGUAGUAAAGUAGUCCCUGCGUAACGUUAGAACCUAGCCCUUCGAAUCCUCCAUGUAGAUGCUCCGUGACGACCUUUUAUAAUUAAGUUCGUCCCCUACAUUACGUGUUUGCAUUGUUUUUAAUUCCAGGAACACAAGUCUCUCAUCUCACUUAUCAAUCCAGUCGGUGGUUUGCGUUGAGAGAAUGUCUGGCAAAGCUGGCAAGUUGAUCACAGCGAUGGCCGUUCGCAGCGACCUUGGCUUUGUUGGAGAAAACACUUCUGUUGACACAAUGCUUGUUCGAGGGAAGCGAACAACGGACAUCUUCCUGUAAUUGCCACCAUUGCAGCGGACACUUAUGGACAAGCCCACAAUACCAUCGCCAACAUAGCAGCGAAGCAAGAUUGCUGUGUUGCCAGGUGCUGAGUCACACAGGGCAUGAUGCUGGACCACGAGAACAGCACCACACUUGUGCACGAGAUGGACUCCAAGUGGGUGCGAAGCAAGCUCAUAGAGGAUGGUGUUGUUUCCGGGACAUUUGAUCCCUAAGGUCGAUAGCUGUGCGCGGUCCCAUGCUCAGGGUAUACAUACACGCAGCACAUAUCAUUGAUGGCCUGUUGAAGCUGUGACUGACGAGGGCGCUGGUACACCAUGAUCACCGGCCUAUCUUCACAGUUUUUUCGUCUUACUCUCCGUGGACCCCUUCAACAAGGUGAUGUUUUCUACCAUCACCCGUCCCAGGCACUGCUUUUCAUACCUGGGUCGUGCCUUCCCUCUGGAGCUGGUCAUUAACUGUGCUUAAAAACCUGUAGUAAUCUCAAUAACCGUAUAUGAACUCUAGUCUUCGCGUUGUGUUCCGGAGAGUGCCGAAAAUUGGAAGAAAUGCGUAUGUUUUCGACAGAUACAAACAGAUAAAAUAAUGGAUAAAUACUGGAUUGUCCGGCUGGAACAAUUCCACCACCUCAUGAGAUACUGUGAAAAACUGGAGUAAAUGCUCUCUCUCUCUCUCUCUCUCUCUCUCUCUCUGCGUGUCUCUCACUCAAUCAAGCGCAGUAUUUGAUCAAAUGCUUUGGAUGUAAGAGAUUGUGCUGCUGGUUUUUUUCUUUCACUGAGUCACGAUUUUCUACCAACUGGGUUUGAAGCAAACAUAUCAAUGGAUUUGAGAGGACAGCUCUCAAGGUUCCAGACUAGAACAUGACAAAGAGUUGGUGUCGCAGGAAGAAAGUUUUCUGCUUCGAUUGUUGCAACUUUGGCUUUCUGUAGCUUGCCAGACUGUACCCAACUUAAGUUACACACAUAUUUGAAACUGUGCAUGAAGGAUUCAUUUUGGAGUGAAGGUUUACUAAA